rnacentral:lncRNA from 1 species
GAGAGUGAAAGUUUUCAUUUAUUCAAUUUUGAAUAUAUAAUCAUGCUAAUAAUAAAUUGAUAAAGUACAUAUUUUAGUUGAAAAUGCAAAAAGUUAAGGUUUAAUACUUUUUAAGUACAUUAGUAUGGGCCAGGCGCAGUGGUUCACGCCUGUAAUCCCAGCACUUUGGGAGGCCGAGGUGGGUGGAUCACCUGAGGUCGGGAGUUCGAGGCCAGCCUGGCCAAUAUGAUGAAACCCCAUCUCUACUGAAAAUACAAAAAAAUAGCUGGGCGUGGUGGUGGGCACCUGUAAUCCCAGCUACUCGGGAGGCUGAGGCAGGACAAUCACUUGAAUCUGGAAGGCGGAGGUUGUAGUGAUCUGAGAUCGCGUCAUUGCACUCCACCUGGGGGACAGAGCAAGACUCCGUCACAAAGAAAAGAAAAAUAUUUAUACCUAUAUACUGGUUUGCCUCAGUGAAGAAUAAUCACUUUAUGUUUUCUAACUUUGAGCAUUAACUUUUGCAAAUUUGUUAAUGCUUUGUCAAAUUAAUCUUUAUAUAGCCAUGGUCAGUAAAAUCAGUAUGGUCAGAUGUGUUGACUUAUCUUCACUCAUAGUUGAUUGAAGAACAUUUUUUAUUUUAAUUUCAAAAAGUUUCUUUCAGGUGAAAUAACAGAUAUGCAAAUAGUGAUGAAAUCUUUAAGAAUAAAUGUAUCAGAUUCAUACAAAUCCCACUUCACAAUACAUUCCAGAAAUUAUAGUACUGACCAUAUCCUUUUUCCCUUGGGAUCAUUUCCAGCUGUUUUCAAAUAUUUCCGCUGUUGAAAAAUUUCCAAUAAAAUAACUUCACCAGAAAAUUCAUCAUAAAUUUCUAUCAUAUUUGGUAAAAUUCUCCAAAGCUUGUAAUGAUUGUGAAUUAUUUGAGCUUGCUUCAGGCUCAGGUCACAUCUCCAGUCCCUGUGGUACUAUGUAAGCCUGUAUUUAAACAUAGACUAAAAAUAAACAAUUAUAGCAGAGUGAUUAUAAAAAUGAAACAGAACUUGACUGCUUAUUCUUGAAAUAAACCAGUAUAGCUGAGUCCAUGUGCAUUUGAGAGUUAGAAUUACUUCCACAUAGAAUGCAAUGUUUAUUAAUAAUAAGUAAUAAUAAAAAAGUGGUAAUAUUCAGCUUACAUUUGUUUUGUUAAAUUUCAGCAACUGCAGCAGCAGUUGUUUAGAACUUAGACCAACAAAAGCUUUUUUAUUUUUCAAAGAGGAGUAGUAUUGUUGAUGUUGCUUGAAACUGCCAGGCAUGGUGAUAAUAAAAAGCAGAACUGGCUUUUAUUAUUAUUUUAUUUUAUUCCUUUUCAAUUUUCUACACACAAAGCAGCCCUUAUUGCCUGUACUAGGGGUGAACUACUCUCCCUAUCC